rnacentral:misc_RNA from 1 species
ACAUAACCACCUCUUUUAGAUCAAACUCAAUUCUAAAAAGACUAAAAUUCUUUCCUAACUAAAUGGGUCUUAUCCUAUCCAAUCAUCUUUUAACCUUUACGCAUUUGAUUUUGACUUUACCUCCUUUUUCCUCCGACACUUUAACCUCUCAUCCACCUAACUCUAUCAAAACUCCAUAUUCACAAUUACAAAUCCACCUAACUUUUCUUUUUUCCCUUCUACUUUUCUUUCCCUUUUCCUUUUUCUCUCUCUUUUCUAUUUUUUUUGUCCUUCUCCUUUGGUAACCUUCACCCUCGCGUCACGCGUUACUGAUCCUCACUUGACGCUUCACCGCUGGUGCCCCACUACUCCUCGCAGUUAUCGAUCAUAGGUGGCCCUCCUACGGGACGCUGAUUGCCCCUUCUGCCUUCGGUUCAAAGACCCAAAAAUUCCUGCUCACGGGGUGUCUUGUAAACUGUUUCACGCCAUUCCACCUCCUUCAAUCACCAAUCUUCAUUUUCAGAAAUUGCAGGCGGCUAUAUAUCGCAAAUACCUGUACAACUUGAUGAGUGAUUGGUGUCUGCCAGCUCACAAGUAUCUGCCACUUCACAAACAAUAUCAUAGGCUUCACCCAUUAGCAAUAGCAUUCUUAGAUUAAUUGCUACACCUACUUUAAGGGCAUUGCAUGUUUAUACACCACCAGUUUUCUUGAUGCCUACUGUCAACCCAUUUUCUAAGGCUACUGAUGAUACCACCAUCAUAGAUACUUCAAGUACUUGCUCUAAGAAAGCCAUGGUUUCUUAAACUCUAGGUCCACUCUCAGGUUUGGUCGUAGAGGCUGCUAUUGUUGGCCCAUUAGCACUUCCACGUGCUAUCCCAAUUCCUCCUUUCCCUCUAGGAGAAUACAAGAAAUUGCAAGUCAACAAUCACCUGAAGCCACCUCCUCGACUUAGAGAUGUUAAGUCUUGUCCGCGACAAUCAUCAAUUUAGGAAGCAUGGAUCAACAAGCUUCAUUCUUGUUUCUCCAAUACUUGGAAGCUUCUUGCCAUUUAUGACUUCAUUAAGCUGACUAGAUUUGCCCUUCCUUGCUGCCCCAGGGUAAUUGUAGGUUAUUUAAGACUUUGGUCCCAAUCAUGUAACUUCUUUAUACUGCUAAUGGGCCCUAUGUCAAUCACCUUGAAGGACAUUAAGAUUCUCACCGAUCUAUCUAUUGUUGAAACAGAGGUACCUAGCACUUUUUCAAAGUUGCCAUCCAAAUUUAAAAAACUGGACAAUUUUAGCUCCUACAGUGCUUUGAGUGACUAUAGUAUCGGCAUCAGUCAAUUCAACCAUACUCCGUUUAUAAGGUGCCUGAUCUAACAAUUCACUUUCUGCUUGCCUGUAGAUGUGCUUCUCAUGAUUACCUAUCGCUGGCUUCUCUCUUACGACAAGCAACCCUUGUGCCCUUAGUACUAUAUUGCUGGCUUCCAUAUUUCGGUCCAUGUCCUCAUGGUCUCUAAUGCACCUGUGAGUAAAGUAAGUGGUGAAUUCUGGAUUGCACAGAUAUGGUUACUUUCAUACUUUCCAAAGCUAGCAAGUUCUUCACCAUCCUCAGUUGAUGGUGUCUUUGGCAAAAGAGUUGUAUCACUAGCUUGUGAAUGGGAUGAGCAUCAAGUAUUAAAAUCUUAGUUCAGCUACCUGCCAAUGAUUUUACUGGUUUCAUUCCUUUCGAUGAUGUUAUCGCUGUUAAGUCCAUUGGCUUUCCUCCUUGGAUGAUCUGCUCAAAUGCUUCCUUUAUUGAUGAGCCUAUCAGUAACUGGGCCUCUGUUACUGCCAUUAGGCAUUUGCACAUAGGUUGCACCUUUGGCACACUUCUGGGCAUCAUAAAACCUGGACUUGAACUAUACAUGCUUUCUCUCUAGUCCCACUAGCUGGGUUUCAUUUAGGGGAGUUUCAUCUGACAUCUUUGUACGUGCCAACAGCUCAAGCAGUACUAAAAUUACACUAUCCACUAAGUAGAUAUGGCACGUUAUCGUUUCAACCCACAGUUACUUCAAUACAUGAGCCAGCUAAUUCCCUUAGAGUCUAUUGACCCACAUCUCUGUGCCUUUUAGAUCUAGUGGUCUUCCAUAUUCCAUGAAACUGUAAUAAGACCUAUAGCUGCACUUACUUACCCCCCAUUCAUCAUACUUUGCUUUAUGUUUAUGUUCCUUAUCUUUGCUAUUUGUUGUGUGUCUCUUGCCAUGUGCUUCUUCUCUUGGUAAAGCUCAAAAGGUGGCCUCUAUAAAGACUACGCCUUCUUUAGAAAAACACAAGGCCACUACACUGCCAGUCCUCCCUUCGGUAAAGAAAAUAAAAAUGCCAGCAAAGAAAUUUAAGACCUAAGAUCUAGAAAUCUCCUCCUCCCUGGAGAAAACAGAAAGAAAGUCCUUCUUUACCUCUUAUUAGGCACUCUAGCCAACAUGUGCCUAAAGGAAGCCUCAAACUUCCCAUUCUAUGGCAGUGGAGAUCUCAGAUGCUAGUGAUUCUGACAUAGAGGCCUCUUCAGGUGCCAAUACUACUCCUACUGGGGACGCUCCUCUGAACAAUACUCAGGGACUCUUGAAGAGGAACAAGGCACAGCUAGUACUCAAAAUGAUCAUGCCACCUAAGAAGCGGCAGGUAUCAGAGAUGAUGAUUCACUAGGGCACAUUCCUUCAUCUAUUUUUCUUGAGGUUUGUAUUAUUUCACUUACGUUAAUUAUAAUUUGCUUCUGUAGCGAGUUGAAACCCAUUUUGUCUUGCAUAGAUUCCUUCUCCAUUACCAGCGACCAGCUCUACUCCUAGCUCAUCUAUUGUUAUAGAUCCCAGAGCUUUUGUGACAAAUAAGGUUGACCCUCUUUAGGAUCUUGACUUCUCAUUCUUGACGAAGUUCUCUAGCACCUCCACCAACACUUACCUUGCUCUUAAACCUUCUAAAAUUGUAGUUACAACAACCAAGAACCAACUAUGUUAUUUCAUGUCCUUAGAACUUGGUUCACGUAAAGAGGAGUAGAGGUCACUGCUGUUUUUUGCUCUAUCUACUUUGAUUGCAGUAGGCACAUAGCUUCAGGAUGCCAAGACACAAAUUGCUAAGAUUCUUACCUCCUACAUUGAAAAGAGCAAGUCUUCUGCAUCACUUUCUGUCUCUGUUAAUGCCUUUACUACUCACCAUGAUGAACUUAAAGAGCUCAUCUAGAAGGCUCAGUCUUACGUUGACCAAGUUCGAGAAAGAUAAAACAAGGUGAAAGCAAUCAAAGAAAGGAUUACUAACCUGGAGAAGUAGAUAGCUUGCUGAAGACUGAGACAACAAAGCUUAAGGUAGAGGAGACUUCACUUUUAGAACUAGAGGAGAACUUGUUUGUUGAUCACUUGAUUGAUGGAGGUGUGAUACAGUCCGAGGGCGAAGCUUUGAGGGACUUGACUACACCCACAGAAGCUAUAAUCAAGGAGCAUCAGUCUUGCUCAGAGUUUUCUGCUUCCUAUGAGGACCAUUGGACAAUACUUUGUGACUCAGUCUCAGCCCUCUUAUAGGCUUGAUGUUUGAUGCCUAGUUACGCUUUGUUGAUGGCCAAUACAUUGCUUUACAUGUAGUAUAGUUGUAUUUCCUAUAUUUGAUAUUUCUGACUUUAACAACUAUAUUUUGGAUUGAUGAGCCAUAAGUUGGCCUUUUAUUCAUAUGCUUUUACAAGUGACCUAAAAAGCUAACUUUAAUUACAUAGCUUUGUCUUAACUAUAUGUGAUUACAUUGAAUAUCUAGUUUGUUAUGUCAUCAUUCCUUAUACCAUCUAUGCAGGAAUCCUAUGUAUAUGAGGCUGUGGGUCGACCUUAAUUGUCUUCUUGUGUUUGAUGUUCUUGUAUUUCCCACAUAGUGAAAAAGGGUUUUUUUUUUUUGGUUUUUCACGUAUUUACCAUUGAUUGUCCUCUCGUAUGGCUCUCCUAGGAGACUAGCCAACCAAUAGGUAUUGCCUCUAAGCACCUAUUGCACCUGAAAAGGUCCUCCCAAUUAGGAGACCACUUGCCAAAUUUCUUGUCUUUAGCACUAGCAAGUAACAUAGUCUUCCAAAUAAUCUUGAAUAUAUCUGAUGAGGGUGCACUGUUGGCACAUUUUAGAGUGAGGCCAGACCUGUAGGAUAGAAUUAGAGUUUCCCAACAUAGAGACCCACAACUAAUGAAAAUUGUAGAAAGAGUGCAGCAAGGAGAAGAUUAUGAAUUUGAGUUUGGUGUAGAGGCACUCUUAUGUAAGGCUCCAAGAUAUGUGUGCUAGAUGUAGAUAGCCUUAGAGCGGAAAUCAUGUAGGAGGCGCACUGCACACCGUAUAAUAUCCAUCCAGGCUCCACCAAGAUGUACCAU